GAUGAGCGCUAGCGGCAGGCCUAACACAUGCAAGUCGAGGGGCAGCACGUAAAGAUGCAGCAAUGUAGCUUUUGGGUGGCGACCGGCGGACGGGUGCGUAACGCGUAUACAACCUGCCUUCUACUGGGGGAUAACUCGGAGAAAUCUGGUCUAAUACCCCAUAUCAACCGAUGAGGCAUCUCAUUGGUUUAAAAGCUCCGGCGGUAGAAGAUGGGUAUGCGUGACACUAGAUAGUUGGUGGGGUAACGGCUCACCAAGUCGACGAUGUCUAGGGGGACUGAGAGGUUAACCCCCCACACUGGUACUGAGACACGGACCAGACUCCUACGGGAGGCAGCAGUGAGGAAUAUUGGUCAAUGGACGCAAGUCUGAACCAGCCAUGCCGCGUGCAGGAAGACGGCUCUAUGAGUUGUAAACUGCUUUUGUACGAGGGUGAACCCAGGGACGUGUCCUUGGUUGAAAGUACCGUACGAAUAAGGAUCGGCUAACUCCGUGCCAGCAGCCGCCGUAA
rnacentral:rRNA from 1 species